rnacentral:rRNA from 1 species
AGUGAACGCUGGCGGUAGGCCUAACACAUGCAAGUCGAACGGCAGCACAGUAAGAGCUUGCUCUUACGGGUGGCGAGUGGCGGACGGGUGAGGAAUACAUCGGAAUCUACUUUUUCGUGGGGGAUAACGUAGGGAAACUUACGCUAAUACCGCAUACGACCUACGGGUGAAAGCAGGGGAUCUUCGGACCUUGCGCGAUUGAAUGAGCCGAUGUCGGAUUAGCUAGUUGGCGGGUUAAAGGCCCACCAAGGCGACGAUCCGUAGCUGGUCUGAGAGGAUGUUCGGCCCCACUGGAACUGAGCCACGGUCCAGCCUCCUCCGGGAGGCAGCGGUGGGGAAUAUUGGACAAUGGGCGCAAGCCUGAUCCAGCCAUACCGCGUGGGUGAGGAAGGCCUUCGGGUUGUAAAGCCCUUUUGUUGGGAAAGAAAAGCAUCAGGUUAAUACCCCGCUGUUCUGACGGUACCCAAAGAAUAAGCACCGGCUAACUUCGUG